rnacentral:rRNA from 1 species
CGGGGGGGGCAAGCGUUGUUCGGAAUUACUGGGCGUAAAGGGCUCGUAGGCGGCCAACUAAGUCAUACGUGAAAUCCCUCGGCUUAACCAGGGAACUGCGUCUGAUACUGGAUGGCUUGAGAUUGGGAGAGGGAUGCGGAAUUCCAGGUGUAGCGGUGAAAUGCGUAGAUAUCUGGAGGAACACCGGUGGCGAAGGCGGCAUCCUGGACCAACACUGACGCUGAGGAGCGAAAGCCAGGGGAGCAAACGGGAUUAGAUACCCCGGUAGUCCUGGCCCUAAACGAUGAAUGCUUGGUGUGACGGGUAUCGAUCCCUGUCGUGCCGAGGCUAACGCAUUAAGCAUUCCGCCUGGGGAGUACGGUCGCAAGGCUG